CCAAUAGCGUAUAUUAAAGUUGUUGCAGUUAAAAAGCUCGUAGUUGAAUUUUGGGAUCAGUACGUUGGUCAUGCCUUGGUAUGUACUGGUGUAACUGAUUCCUCCCUUCUGACGAACCGUCAUGCCAUUAAUUUGGUGUGGCGGGAAAUCAGGACUGUUACUUUGAAAAAAUUAGAGUGUUUAAAGCAGGCUCGCGCUUGAAUACAUUAGCAUGGAAUAAUGAAAUAGGACGUUAAUCCUAUUUUGUUGGUUUCUAGGAUCGACGUAAUGAUUAAUAGGGAUAGUUGGGGGCAUUAGUAUUCAAUUGUCAGAGGUGAAAUUCUUGGAUUUAUUGAAGACUAACUACUGCGAAAGCAUUUGCCAAGGAUGUUUUCAUUAAUCAAGAACGAAAGUUAGGGAAUCGAAGACGAUCAGAUACCGUCGUAGUCUUAACCAUAAACUAUGCCGACUAGGGAUCGGAUGAUGUUAAUUUUUUAAUGACUCAUUCGGCGCCUUACG
rnacentral:rRNA from 1 species